UUUGGCUUCUUUUGAUAGUAGUGGAAAACUAAUAUGUAGUAGAACAACUGGCUAUCAAAUACUUACACUUGAAAAGGAUCAGGAACAAGUGGUGAUGAACUUGGACAGCAGGCUUCUGAUCUUCCCUUUAUAUAUCUGCUGUAACUUCUUGUAUAUAUCACCAGAAAAAAAGAAUUGAAAAUAAUCGUCACCCAGAAAAUCCAGAAAACUGAAGAUUUCAUCAGUUGGAAACAGUAGCACUUUGAAAACUUUUUAGGCCAGCUUUAAUUUAAUGGCCCUACUGAUAUUCACAUCGAAGGUGACUAACAAUGACAAAGGCCUUAUGAACUGUACAGACAAUACAGAAGAUUAUUCUUAUCCUCAUUGCAUUUCUAUGCAUAUGCGUAAGAACAUUUUAAAGCCAAGAAAAUAUCUGUCAAACCAUUUCUGUUAGAACGAUGUCAAUUCAUGCUUUUAAUUUAGCAUCAAUAGAAAAUUGCUGUAGGUAAAUCUCACAUUUAUCUGCAACAAAAUAUAGAUUUAAUUUUUAGCUUAAACUUUGUUUCUACCUUAUGUUAGUGGACCUCAGUUAUCCAUCUGUAAAUUUCUUUUUAUUUGGCUAAAAUAAUCUAAAAGAAUAAUUUGGUUGGCCAAUUAGAAAUGCCUUUUUCAGUUGGUGUAUUGAAAGCUUUCCUUUAACAUUUUCACCUGCUCAUUGUGAUUCCUCCUUUUAGUCUAAUAUCUUUCCAGGUCAUACUUGUUUUUAAUCAUUAAAUAUUUUCUUCCUGGUUUUGGAGACUAAGCUGAUAAACUUUUUUUAAAACUUAAGCAUUGUCAUUGCUAUUUUUUUUAAUUUGACUUUCCUAGGAGUUUAAGAACAGUGAAAGUUAGCUUUGCACCUUCAAAUGAUCUUGAAUGAGGGAAAAAUCAGUUUGAUUCCAAGGAUAUUUCUUGCCUUACAUGGUCUUUUCUUUGACAGUCUGUACACCUUUAUUAUUAGGUUUUGAAUUAUUUAUGUACCAGAUAUUAUAGUUUUAAACAUUUUAAUAUUCUCUGAUCUUUAGAAUUAUUUAUGUUCAAAUUUUAGUUGGGAACUUUGUUUCCUACUUAAGCUCAGGACUUUUUACCCUCUGAAUUGAGUGCCUUUGAGUGACACAUGCUAAUAGAAAUUUCAUAGUAAAUGUAAAUAAGGUCAGAGGAUGUAAUAUGGAGCCUGAUGAUGAAGCAUUAAUGUAAAAAUGGAACUUAUUUUUGUCAAAAAUGAGAUGUACACUUGUCAUGAUUUAUGUAUGUUGACCUUUUGUGUUUAUUACUGUUUUGAAAAUAGCCAUGUUCAUUUUCUUUCCAGUUAGAGUAAGUACUUCUGUGGUUAAUGUAUAUUUUUAUUAUGGUUUUUAAAAUGGGAAUCAUUUUUAUGUAUCUGUGCAAAUAAUAAAUGCCCAUUUGGAAAAAGAGUAAGCUCUUACAUAAAAUGGACCAAAAAAUCCCCCUUAAUUGAAACCAAAAUUUUUUCUUUCUAGUUAGGUUUUUUUCCCAACUCCUUUUAACUUUUGGAAUUUAUUAAUAAUUUUUUUCUUUUUUAAUGAUAUGCCCAUAGGUUCAUAAAUUGCUUUUGUUCUUUUAAAAUUCAUCCAUUUGGUUUAACUUAAAGGAACCUUUUAAAUGCCUCACCCUUGACCCUCAGAGCUGGAAUUUAAAUGUUUCUAAUACAGUGAUUUGGCUGUUAUCAAGAGGUUACAUUUCAGCUGGGUGUCAGCCAGGUGUGGUGGCUCACACUUGUAAGCCCAGCACUUUGGGAGGCCGAGGCAGGCAGAUCAUCUGAGGUCAGGAGUUUAAGAUCAGCCAUGACCAACAUGGUGAAACCCCAUCUCUAUUAAAUACA
rnacentral:lncRNA from 1 species